rnacentral:rRNA from 1 species
AGGGAAUCUUCCACAAUGGACGCAAGUCUGAUGGAGCAACGCCGCGUGAGUGAAGAAGGUCUUCGGAUCGUAAAGCUCUGUUGUUGGUGAAGAAGGAUAGAGGCAGUAACUGGUCUUUAUUUGACGGUAAUCAACCAGAAAGUCACGGCUAACUACGUGCCAGCAGCCGCGGUAAUACGUAGGUGGCAAGCGUUGUCCGGAUUUAUUGGGCGUAAAGCGAGCGCAGGCGGAAUGACAAGUCUGAUGUGAAAGCCCACGGCUCAACCGUGGAACUGCAUCGGAAACUGUCAUUCUUGAGUGCAGAAGAGGAGAGUGGAACUCCAUGUGUAGCGGUGGAAUGCGUAGAUAUAUGGAAGAACACCAGUGGCGAAGGCGGCUCUCUGGUCUGCAAACUGACGCUGAGGCUCGAAAAGCAUGGGUAGCGAACAGGAUUAGAUACCCUGGUAGUCCAUGCCGUAAAACGAUGAGC